AGAUAGACAGUGAUAGACAAAUUAAACAGUAUAGAUAAACUGAACAGUGGAAAUAAUAAAUAGCUAGCUUUAAGUCAUUUACCUGCCCCCGUGUUUUUUUUUUUUAAACCUAUAUGUCUUUCCCUCUUCUGCGGAAUAAAAAGACUAUAUUUAGAAAAAUGUCUUUUGUCCGUACAGUGAAAUUUUGUCCAUACAGCAUGUUAUUUUGGACCGCAUUUACUUUCAUUGCAUAGACAACAAAAUUUCUUCCAAAUAUCUUCUCAUGUUCUACAAAAGAAACAAAGUCAUAGAGGAUUAAAAGGACAUAAGGAUGCUGUCAUGAAAUGUAAAGCUGGUCUUGGAGAGAAGGACGUAGAAUGUUUCAUUGGAGAGACACUUAAACAUGCGCCUGCACAACUGAAAAAAACGUGUUCAGGGCCGACUAAAUGAAGAUAUGGAGUUGCUUCAACUACACAAUUCCAUGUUUAAGCUUCCUUGUUGAUUUAUUUGAAUGUUUAUAAACCUGUUUGUGUAAUACCGUUGUGAACACUAUGUUUUUUUUUAUUCAUAGUAAAUUAACUGAAC